rnacentral:rRNA from 1 species
UACAUGGGGUGCAAACGUUGCUCGGAAUUAUUGGGCGUAAAGCGCGCGUAGGCGGUUACUCAAGUCGGAUGUGAAAGCCCUCGGCUUAACUGAGGAAGUGCACCCGAAACUGAGUAGCUAGAGUACUAAAGAGGGUCGCGGAAUUCCCGGUGUAGAGGUGAAAUUCGUAGAUAUCGGGAGGAACACCGGUGGCGAAGGCGGCUUCCUGGACCGAUCACUGACGCUGAGGCGCGAAAGCUAGGGGAGCAAACGGG